rnacentral:misc_RNA from 1 species
GAAUUUUUAUCAAAAAGUUGAACUGGUGAUUCAAUUAUCGCUCACAUUUAGCUCGACAAUUCGUUAAUUGAGUAUACCCCUUUUGGGAUUUCAAGGAAGCAUGAAGAGUGGCAAAAGAGAUGGAUAUCCUGGGUCAGGCAUUAAGCCAUAUAGCUUGGUUCAUCAAACUCUAUGCAUCACGGAUAUUUCCUUUGAAACUAAAUGCUUAAUUGGAUAUGUGGAAAUGACAAUUCAGCCUCAUAUACCCAAUCUAAAGUCAUUUAAGUUAAAUUGCAAACAGUGUGUUUUAUAUAGUAUGUUGAUAAAUCAAAGGUGGGAUGCAACUUUUAGCUAUCACGAUCCAACUUUAGAAAUUUGUAAGAGAGAUUUUAAACAGCGUAAUUUAGACAAUUAUAAAAAUGCUCAUGCAAAUGCUUCCCAUUCGGUGGAUUCUACUUUGGGUAAUGGGGAAGUAACGGUUCAAAUACCUUCAGAUGCAUAUAGUGCAGGGAUGAUAAACGAAAUGAUGCCCUUCACUGUAACUAUUGAAUUUUCCCUGGAAGAACCAAGAGGAGGUAUGAGAUUUGUUGUUUCAAAUAUAGAUGGAACUCUUGUUGAACGAGGAGCCCAUCUAUAUACAUAUGGUAGAGAAAACUCUUCAAGGUUGUGGUUUCCUUGUAUGGAUUCGUUUAGUGAACUAUGUACUUGGAAAUUAGAAAUAACUGUUGAUAUGUACAUGAUAGCUAUUAGUAGUGGAGAUCUCAUUGAGACCGUUUAUACAAGUGAUUUACGACAAAAGACAUACCACUAUUACUUGAGUGUUCCAACUUCGGCUCCCAACAUUGCGUUGGCAGUUGGACCAUUUGAAUUUAUUGUGGAUGAGACCAUGCCGGAAGUAACACAUUUUUGUCUGCCAUCCUUGAAACCUCUAUUACACAAUUCCACAUCUAAACUAACAGAAAUAUUUGAAUGCUUUGAAGAUUUUUUAUCGUCUAGAUAUCCUUUUUCUUCUUAUAAACAAGUGUUCGUAGAUGAAGCCUAUGAUGAAUUCCAAAGUUUCAGCACUAUGUCCAUUUUUAGUCACGCUCUUUUACAUCCCCCUACAAUAAUUGAUCAAGUGCCUAUUAUGAGAAAUGCCAUGGCUAACGCUCUAGCAAAGCAGUUUUUUGGAUGUUUUAUCGUUCAACAAUCUUGGAAUGAUGCUUGGUUAACGAAGGGCAUUUCUGCCUUCCUGGCUGGCUUAUACUUUAGAAAGACAUUUGGUAAUAAUGAGUAUAAGCAUAUGGUUUUCGAGAAAUUACAAGCCAUUCAGAAUUAUGAAUUCAAAGUUGGAGGGAUUGUGUUGGAUCCGGCUGCCGUGCUUUCCCGAAAUAUGGAUUUGCAUUUUUCAACUGCAUAUGCUCAGACAACAUCUGAUGCCUAUUUAAAAGCUUAUGAAAAAAAAGCGUUUUUAGUUAUGCGUUUAUUAGAAUCUAGAUUGGGACCAGGAAUAUUUCUUCAGAGUUUAAAUAAACUGCUAUCUCUUGCAAUGACAGCGUCAAAUCAGAAAUAUCUAAAUUUUGUAUGGACCCCUAUGUUGCUGAGUACUGAUUCGUUUCUCAGAGGAAUAGCAACUGUAAGUGGAAAGGAUGUAAACACGUUUUUAGAUUUGUGGGUGAGACAGCCUGGAUUGCCAAAGUUUCACGGAAAUUUUGUUUUCAAUAGAAAGAGAAAUAUUGUUGAAUUAGAAAUUCGACAAGAUGUUCUAAACAAAGGAACUAUGAAAUAUAUGGGUCCAAUUACAGUCGCCAUACAGGAAUUAGAUGGAACUUUUAGGCAUACAUUUAAUAUAGAGGAAAAUAAACGUACUUUUGAAAUAACUUGUCACUCUAAAAGUAGAAGAAACAAAAAGAAAAAAAUUCCCUUGUCAACAAUGGAAGAAGUUGAUAUGGACUUGGGAGCAAUGGAUGCUGAUUCUCCUGUACUUUGGUUGAGAAUUGAUCCUGAACUUGAUUUAUUACGUUUUGUGGAUUUGGAACAGCCAGAUUACAUGUGGCAGUAUAUGUUGCGACAUGAAAGAUGUAUUAUAGCGCAAGAAUGUGCGAUAUCUUCCUUGGAAUCAUUUUCUACACCUCAGACUCGAUUAUGCUUGACGGAUUGUGUUGAAAAUGAUAAAGUUUAUUAUAGAGUCCGUAUGCAAGCAGCCUAUUGUCUUGUUAGGGUAGCUAAUCAGCUAGCUGCUAGUUGGUCUGGUCCACCUGCUAUGCUUGCUAUUUUUCAUAAACUCUUUGGUUCAUAUUCAUCUCCGAAUAUAGUCAGACGGAACGAUUUUAGUAAUUUCCAGCAAUAUUUCUUACAAAAGACUAUACCAGUUGCAAUGGCCUCCUCAAGGACGCUAAAUAAUAAUUGCCCUAGUGAUGUUAUGAAGUUUCUUCUAGAUUUAUUCAAGUAUAAUGAUAAUGCAAAGAACAAGUAUUCAGAUAACUAUUAUCGGGCUGCUCUUAUUGACGCCUUAGCAGCAACAAUAACCCCUGCUAUUACAACUGUGACGCUGAAUGGUAUGAGUGGACGACCUAGUACUGAACUAGUAUCGGACGAUGCUAAGAGGAUAUUGGAGGAAAUUGUAAGAUAUUUAAAUUUAGAGAAGCUUUUACCCUGCUACCACCGUGUAGUUACUGUUAGUUGCUUAAGAGCGUUAAGAAUUCUACAAAAAUUUGGACAUAUACCUAGCUCAGCAAAUAUUUUUAAAUCCUACGCGGUCAAAGGAAAUUUUAUCAAUGUAAGAUUGGCCGCGUUAGAAGCUCUAGUAGAUUUUAUGACUGCUGAAAGUAAUGUUGAGACUUUUGAAUGGCUUAUUGAUCUAAUUGAUAGGGACGAUGAACCUUACAUUACUCAUAGAUUAGCGGAAAUUCUUAUCGAAAAGCCACCGUUUACCAAAGAUAUCGAAUCAUGCCCGUUAUCUUCCGAAGAGAUAGUUGAUAAACUUUGGAAUAUGAUGAAUUGUAAGUUUCAUUACGAUUCAAGACUGAGAUGCGAUGUCGUUGAUUUAUAUCACAAACUGUUCGGUAGAAGGAGACCUGCUUGCCUGCCGAUGUCUGAUAGUACGAUGGUAAUUAAUUUAAAGGAAAGCAAAUUAGCAAGAACAGGCUUACCAGAUACAUCUCAGGAUAGGAUUAGGCUUUUACAAAAAAAAUCGGUAAUAAAGAAUUUCGAUUUCCUCUUUAAAAAAUAACCACAAUAUUAUUUUUUUUAACUAUAAAUAGCGUAAUAAAAUUUUUUCGUUUAGGCUGAUGAUUUAGACUAUCAGGACCCAUUCGCUCUUGCAAGAACUCAUUCCGACAUCACUGCAACAAAUGAUAGUAAUUCAAAUCAAGGGUUAAAGAGAAAGUCCGACGAUCUGCCCUCGUUUGAUGACGAUUCUAGUAUGCCUAAGGUACGAAUUAAGGUAAUAAAACAAUUAUUUGUUAAUUCUAGAUAUUAUCUAAUUAUUUUGACAAAAUAAUUUUGUACAAGCAAAGAGAGAACGAUAAAUUAUUUUUAUCUACUUGAUAGAUAGAUUUGCUAUACAACUUUGAUUCUUUCCUCGUAUAAGUUAAAUUAUUUCUUGAUAUUUAUAUACUAUUAAAUAAUCCGUUGUUUUUUUACUUUUGUUAGCGGUUUCCCGAUGAUAAGUUGUCUCUAGAUACAUCUUUACCGAUAGAAGAAACUGUUGUAACAACCGAUGCUGAACCAAUUCCUCCUCCUAUUGAGGGAAUUUCAAUUGCAGCCUUGGUCGACACAGCUUCAAGAGGUCCAAAUCUUAGCGAAGAUUCAAAUUCCGAUGAAAGUCCCAGUAUGUUUUUUCAAAUCUUUUUUAUGUUUUAAAUAAACAAAAAAAAAUUCUUUUUUUGGUUUUCGAAAUUUAUAUAUGUACAUGUAUAUAUACAUAUAUAUUUAUACUUUACAUGCUUAUAUUUUAAACAGCCAAAGUAGACGGCCCUACUUCAUUUACACCGUCCAUGUUCACUCCAUUAGCUGAUAAUCCGUCUGCCGAAAGUUCAUCUCAUAAGCAUCACAAAGAUAAAAAGAAGAAAAAGAAGAAAAAGAAUAAGCAUAAACAUAAACAUAAACAUGCUAAAGAAGAAGGAAGGAGUGAUUCAUUAAGUUAAACUUAGAUACUAAAUCUCCUGAUGUAUUAUUUUAAAUAUUUUCAUUGUUUUUUUAAUACAUGGGCGUCAG